UACGUAGGGUGCAAGCGUUGUCCGGAAUUAUUGGGCGUAAAGGGCUCGUAGGCGGUCCAUCGCGUCGGGAGUGAAAAGCUGGGGCUUAACCCCAGUCCUGCUUCCGAUACGGGUGGACUAGAGGUAGGUAGGGGAGAACGGAAUUCCUGGUGUAGCGGUGAAAUGCGCAGAUAUCAGGAGGAACACCGGUGGCGAAAGCGGCUCUCUGGAACGGUACUGACGCUGAGACGCGAAAGCGUGGGGAGCGAACAGG
rnacentral:rRNA from 1 species